UUAAGCGACUAAGCGUACACGGUGGAUGCCCUGGCAGUCAGAGGCGAUGAAGGACGUGCUAAUCUGCGAUAAGCGUCGGUAAGGUGAUAUGAACCGUUAUAACCGGCGAUUUCCGAAUGGGGAAACCCAGUGUGAUUCGUCACACUAUCAUUAACUGAAUCCAUAGGUUAAUGAGGCGAACCGGGGGAACUGAAACAUCUAAGUACCCCGAGGAAAAGAAAUCAACCGAGAUUCCCCCAGUAGCGGCGAGCGAACGGGGAGCAGCCCAGAGCCUGAAUCAGUGUGUGUGUUAGUGGAAGCGUCUGGAAAGGCGCGCGAUACAGGGUGACAGCCCCGUACACAAAAAUGCACAUGCUGUGAGCUCGAUGAGUAGGGCGGGACACGUGGUAUCCUGUCUGAAUAUGGGGGGACCAUCCUCCAAGGCUAAAUACUCCUGACUGACCGAUAGUGAACCAGUACCGUGAGGGAAAGGCGAAAAGAACCCCGGCGAGGGGAGUGAAAAAGAACCUGAAACCGUGUACGUACAAGCAGUGGGAGCACGCUUAGGCGUGUGACUGCGUACCUUUUGUAUAAUGGGUCAGCGACUUAUAUUCUGUAGCAAGGUUAACCGAAUAGGGGAGCCGAAGGGAAACCGAGUCUUAACUGGGCGUUAAGUUGCAGGGUAUAGACCCGAAACCCGGUGAUCUAGCCAUGGGCAGGUUGAAGGUUGGGUAACACUAACUGGAGGACCGAACCGACUAAUGUUGAAAAAUUAGCGGAUGACUUGUGGCUGGGGGUGAAAGGCCAAUCAAACCGGGAGAUAGCUGGUUCUCCCCGAAAGCUAUUUAGGUAGCGCCUCGUGAAUUCAUCUCCGGGGGUAGAGCACUGUUUCGGCAAGGGGGUCAUCCCGACUUACCAACCCGAUGCAAACUGCGAAUACCGGAGAAUGUUAUCACGGGAGACACACGGCGGGUGCUAACGUCCGUCGUGAAGAGGGAAACAACCCAGACCGCCAGCUAAGGUCCCAAAGUCAUGGUUAAGUGGGAAACGAUGUGGGAAGGCCCAGACAGCCAGGAUGUUGGCUUAGAAGCAGCCAUCAUUUAAAGAAAGCGUAAUAGCUCACUGGUCGAGUCGGCCUGCGCGGAAGAUGUAACGGGGCUAAACCAUGCACCGAAGCUGCGGCAGCGACGCUUAUGCGUUGUUGGGUAGGGGAGCGUUCUGUAAGCCUGUGAAGGUGUACUGUGAGGUAUGCUGGAGGUAUCAGAAGUGCGAAUGCUGACAUAAGUAACGAUAAAGCGGGUGAAAAGCCCGCUCGCCGGAAGACCAAGGGUUCCUGUCCAACGUUAAUCGGGGCAGGGUGAGUCGACCCCUAAGGCGAGGCCGAAAGGCGUAGUCGAUGGGAAACAGGUUAAUAUUCCUGUACUUGGUGUUACUGCGAAGGGGGGACGGAGAAGGCUAUGUUGGCCGGGCGACGGUUGUCCCGGUUUAAGCGUGUAGGCUGGUUUUCCAGGCAAAUCCGGAAAAUCAAGGCUGAGGCGUGAUGACGAGGCACUACGGUGCUGAAGCAACAAAUGCCCUGCUUCCAGGAAAAGCCUCUAAGCAUCAGGUAACAUCAAAUCGUACCCCAAACCGACACAGGUGGUCAGGUAGAGAAUACCAAGGCGCUUGAGAGAACUCGGGUGAAGGAACUAGGCAAAAUGGUGCCGUAACUUCGGGAGAAGGCACGCUGAUAUGUAGGUGAAGUCCCUCGCGGAUGGAGCUGAAAUCAGUCGAAGAUACCAGCUGGCUGCAACUGUUUAUUAAAAACACAGCACUGUGCAAACACGAAAGUGGACGUAUACGGUGUGACGCCUGCCCGGUGCCGGAAGGUUAAUUGAUGGGGUUAGCGCAAGCGAAGCUCUUGAUCGAAGCCCCGGUAAACGGCGGCCGUAACUAUAACGGUCCUAAGGUAGCGAAAUUCCUUGUCGGGUAAGUUCCGACCUGCACGAAUGGCGUAAUGAUGGCCAGGCUGUCUCCACCCGAGACUCAGUGAAAUUGAACUCGCUGUGAAGAUGCAGUGUACCCGCGGCAAGACGGAAAGACCCCGUGAACCUUUACUAUAGCUUGACACUGAACAUUGAGCCUUGAUGUGUAG
rnacentral:rRNA from 1 species